CCUACGGGCGGCAGCAGUGAGGAAUAUUGGUCAAUGGACGAGAGUCUGAACCAGCCAAGUAGCGUGAAGGAUGACUGCCCUAUGGGUUGUAAACUUCUUUUAUACAGGAAUAAAACGAGGCACGUGUGCCUUUUUGCAUGUACUUUAUGAAUAAGGAUCGGCUAACUCCGUGCCAGCAGCCGCGGUAAUACGGAGGAUCCGAGCGUUAUCCGGAUUUAUUGGGUUUAAAGGGAGCGUAGAUGGGUUGUUAAGUCAGUUGUGAAAGUUUGGGGCUCAACCGUAAAAUUGCAAUUGAUACUGGCAGUCUUGAGUACAGUUGAGGUAGGCGGAAUGCGUGGUGUAGCGGUGAAAUGCUUAGAGAUCACGAAGAACCCCGAUUGCGAAGGCAGCUUACUAAACUGUGACUGACAUUGAUGCUCGAAAGUGUGGGUAGCAAACAGGAUUAGAUACCCCAGUAGUC
rnacentral:rRNA from 1 species